CCUUCGGGUGUAGAAAUCUUUCUUUGUAGAAAGUUUGGUAGAAAUUCCCCCUUUUGCCACUCACAACCCGACCUAGAUUUUGUCUGUGUGUGCAACUCAAUCUUGUGUAGAAAAAUCUAGGGACAUGUGUCUUUUGUAUACGUUUUGUAGAGUUGUAAUCAAAAAAUCCUUUUUUUAACUUAAAUAGUGGUAUUUCCCUGAAAUUUGACUGGAAUUCGUUGUGCAGAAUACAUAAGGCCAUGUGUUGAAAUCUAACUGAAAUUCCUUUUUUUUUUGUAGAAAAGUCUUCAUAUGCGCGAAGCCUAUACGCACUGUAGACUUUCUUCGCAACCUCAUGUGACCAUCUGCAAAUGAAAUGUUAAAAUCUGCUUUUGUAAAUAUCCAGGGCCAUGGUAUACAAAAACUUGUUUUUCGCAGUUUUAAUUGCUGUAUCUACAUUUUCUAUAUUGUGUCAACUAAGUUAGGGUCAUGACGUGUUUAAUUUCUUUGCUGUUUUGGAGAAAAUAUUCAUACCACAAUCGUUCGAUUCAGUGAACAAAGUUACAGAUUACGAGUUUGUGUUCCGAGUUCGAGUGUGAACAAAGUCACACAGUUCGAAUACGACGAACGUUUUUAGACGAGUUCGAGUUCGUGUUCGUACGAAGUUGGGUAAUAAAGAGUACUACAAUACUCGAUCGUGUUCGAUCGUGUUACUACCAAGUUCUUAAUUUUAAUGAUUUUUGUGAAAUAUAGUAGGGCCAUGUGAAUUAGUAAUCAUAUUUUGCCAUUUUGCUUAUUUCUUUUUCAAAUCAAACAUUGCUCUUGAAUCGGUGGUAAAUCUUGCACCGCAAUACCUUCUGCAUGUGAGUUAUUUACUUAUCGACCCUUUGUUGAGAUUUCGUUAUGUAAAAUAUUUAAGGGCCAUGUGUACAAAUCAAACUUUGAAAUUUUCAGUCAUGUCUAUACGUUUUCUCGUCGUUCUACAUUGAUGUGCAUUGUGCAAAAAUAUCUUAGGGCCGAUAUGUUUGUGUAUACAGGUAAAAAAUGGGACGAUGAAUAUCGACCUUCGGCCCGGGUGCGGGUUAAAACACCAUAGCGUUGGGACACUCGGUCGUAAAGAGUGCGAGUUCGUUUUCCGGAGUCAGUACGUGUUCGGGUUCGAGAACAAGAAUCGAAAAAAAAAAUCAUUUUGUCCGAUAUGUUGUGUAUACAGGUAGAAAAUAGGACGAUGUACAUGUAUAUCGACCUUCGGACGCGGAUUAAAACGCUAUAGCGGUGGGACACUCGUUCGUAAAGAGUGCGAGCUCGUUUUCCGGAGUCAGUACGUGUUCGGGUUCGAGAACAAGAAUCGAAAGAAAAAAAUCAUUUUGUCCGAUAUGUUUGUGUAUACAGGUAGAACAUAGGACGAUGUAUAUCGACCUACGGGUGCGGAUUAAAACACUAUAGCGGUAGGACACCCGUUCGUAAAGAGUGCGAGUUCGUUUUCGGGAGUCAGUACGUGUUUGGGUUCGAGAACAAGAAUCGAAAAAAAAAUCAUUUCGUCCGAUAUGUUUGUGUAUACAGGUAGAAAAUGAAACGAUGAAUAUCGACCUACGGGUGCGGAUUAAAACACCAUAGCGGUGGGGCACUCGUUCGUAAAGAGUGCGAGUUUGUGUUUUGGGUUCGGUACGUGUUCGGGUUCGAAGACCAAGAAUCGAAAAACCUGGCUGUCAAUCAUUUUGUCCGAUAUGUUUGUGUAUACAGGUAGAAAAUAGGACGAUGUAUAUCGACCUUCGGGUGUAGAAAUCUUUCUUUGUAGAAAGUUUGGUAGAAAUUCCCCCUUUUGCCACUCACAACCCGACCUAGAUUUUGUCUGUGUGUGCAACUCAAUCUUGUGUAGAAAAAUCUAGGGACAUGUGUCUUUUGUAUACGUUUUGUAGAGUUGUAAUCAAAAAAUCCUUUGUUUAACUUAAAUAGUGGUAUUUCCCUGAAAUUUGACUGGAAUUCGUUGUGCAGAAUGCAUAAGGCCAUGUGUUGAAAUCUGACUGAAAUUCCUUCUUCUUUUUUUGGAAGAAAAGUCUUCAUAUGCACGUAGCCUAUACGCACUGUAGACUUUCUUCGCAACCUCAUGUGACCAUCUGCAAAUGAAAUGUUAAAAUCUGCUUUUGUAAAUAUCCAGGGCCAUGGUAUACAAAAAGUUGUUUUUCGCAGUUUUAAUUGCUGUAUCUACAUUUUCUAUAUUGUGUCAACUAAGUUAGGGUCAUGACGUGUUUAAUUUCUUUGCUGUUUUGGAGAAAAUAUUCCUACCACAAUCGUUCGAUUCAGUGAACAAAGUUACAGAUUACGAGUUUGUGUUCCGAGUUCGAGUGUGAACAAAGUCACACAGUUCGAAUACGACAAACGUUUUUAGAUGAGUUCGAGUUCGUACGAGGUUGGUAAUAAAGAGUACGUACAAUACUCGAUCGUGUUCGAGUGCGAACAAAGCUCGCAUUUGAGCUCGAGUUCGAGCAAAGUUACCCGAGUACAAGUUGGAGUUCGAGUACAAAAAUGUGUUCACGAGUAGUUAAAUUACUACCAGGUUCUAAAUUUUAUUGAUAUUUGUGAAAUAUGGAAUAGGGCCAUGUGUAAUAUAGUGAUCUUAUUUCGCCAUUCUGCGUCGGGGUUGGUAAGAGUACGUACAAAGUUACACGGGUAUACCCGUUCGUGUUCGGCGAGUGCGAAUAAAUUUUGCAUUUGAGCUCGACGGAGUCCGAGCAAAGUUACGCGAGUACAAGUUGGAGUUCGAGUACAAAAAUGUGUUUACGAGUACUUAAAUUACUACCAGGUUCUAAAUUUUAAUGAUUUUUGUGAAAUAUGGUAGGGCCAUGUGUAGUAGUAAUCAAGUUGCGUAUUUCUUUUUCAAAUCAAACUUUUGCUCUUGAAUCAUUGUUAAAUCAUGCACCGUAAUACUUUCUGCUUGUGAGUUAUUUACUUAUCGACCCUUGUUGGGAUUUUGUUAUGUGAAAUAUGUUAGGGCCAUGUGUGCAAAUCAAACUUUGAAAUUGUAUUCAUGUCUACGUCUUCUCAUCGUUCUACAUUAAUAUGCAUUGUGCAAAAAUAUUUUAGGGCCAUGCAUAUUCAAAACCUUUCGUCGCCACUUUCUAGAAAUUUCUGCCAAACUCAUAUUUUUGUCUCAUGUUUUCUUCUGUAUUUAUGACAUAGGGCCAUGUGAGCAAAUCUUACUUUGUCUUUGUGGAUUAUUUUAAUUUCCACGGUGAUGGUUUAUCCAUAAUUCUCCGACAUGAAAUAGUCUCAGUCUGAUCCUUGUCGAAAAUGGCAUAAUAACAUAGAUUAUUGUGCGUGAGUUGAUCUUCUAUUUAAUAAGGCAUCCGUUCCCAAAGAUCGGCAAUGCCUGUGUUAGGGCCAUGUUGCUAAUAAUAAUCAGGUGAUGACACCUGUUAACUCGCAUACUGAGCCCGUUAUCACUUUGUGAAAUAUCCCCCGAGUCUACAGAGUAAAACAAAAUGGAAAAUUGGUUUAUUUUAAGACCCACAAAACCAGUGGUGAUUUUGAUUGACAUUAACUUUUUUUCCCGAUAAGUCCGAUCAGCGCAGGUCGGCAAUUUGAAUAUUGUUUCCCAUGUACAGGUUCGCGUUGCUUGCGGCAAGCUUGAAAAAGGUACACUUUCUAAGAGACUUCGCGACCAGUAUUUAUACUAAGUUGUCCCAUUCGCGCAAACUGGAAUUACUUCGCGACCAGAAGGCCAAGUAAUAACUUUCUUUCUCUACGGUUGGACCCAAUUUACAGUGGUCUGGUAAGGACCACUCUUAUAGUUAGGCCUAGCAAUAUAUCUUUCAUUCAUUGGUCAGGUAAGGACCACAUUUUACCUGUAUUUUCACUACAAUAGUGGUAAGUUGACCAAGAAAUCACUGUACAUUUGUCAUAUCUAUAUAUAUGGUUGUAUGUUUCAUUCAUUGGUCAGGUAAGGACCACAUUUUACCUAUUUUCACUACCGGUGCAUUAACGUGGUUAGUUGACCAACUGAUAUCACAUCACUGUACAUUUUACUGACUUAACCUAGCUCUGCUAGGCAGAUUUGUUUUCUUGUUUCUAAGUCAAUUUUCAGCCAAUUGCAGUUAGAUUAUGAGGACAUGCCGAGUGUUGCUGUCAGAUGGGGAGGAACCGGAAGCAGGGAGGAGGAACAACGGACAAACUUGAAGACCCUGCUUGCUGAGAAUUCCAUUACUGCUUUCUUGGAGUUGAGGGUCUGCAAGAUGAUAGAUCAUUCUGGAUGAAGCUUCAGACGAUUCCGAAUCCCAAGGAACCGGAAGCAGGGCGGAGGACCGACGGAAGGACUGAUGGCCUGCUUGCAGGGCAAGUCUUCAACAAUUCUUGAGAUUCCUCUUGCUUCGUGUAAGCAGCAGAGACGGUGACAAUAUACAUCACGGAGUGCAGUUGUUCACUCAAGGAGGAAUUAACGCCAGUUUUAGCAACACUCCACUUUAAAUUUUAAAAUGAUUCCUGAAAGAUCUCAGUUAGUUUCUCUAAAAAAAAAUUCAAAUUUUACUGAUCCGAAGAACUUAUCCCUAUAAAGUAGAGGGGAAUGUCAAGUGAUAUAAAGACACAUCCCAUUUCAAAUCCCUCUGAAAGGUUACGCCAACUUGAGUCCCCCAAAACGACACCCCGCAUUAAGUCGAGGCCUACACGUUGAAAAAGUGAAACAGAUGUCGUGAUUAUGUUCCUCAAACUUUUGUAAGCUUAAAUAUGCCAAGUUUAGAAUACUGUAGUACUGUAGGGGGAGGAAGGUACAUGUUCCACUAGAAUAUUCAACAAAAUGUCUGUAUUAAAAUAACCGCACGGAUGAUCCUUAAAUGUACCUCCCUCCAGCAGAGACGUUUGCUAGACUGAAUCGGUUUCCAUUUUCUGAGUCAAGCCUUAAAAGGCUAUUUUUGUUUUCAAAAGUCUGAACAAAAAUGUCUCCUUUGUAUAAUACACGUAUAUAACGAAUCUUGUUCACACCACUUGUGUAGAUUCGUGAAACAAGACAAUCGAGUUAAACAUUUCAUUAAAAAUGCCUUUCGCAAAAGUAAUGAUAUGCCCUAAGCUUCGCUGUGAGUGGUGCAAAUAUGGAAUAAUUUACAUGAACUAUUAUAAAGAACGAUUCCCUAGGCACAAGCCAUUAGCAAAUGAUAUUUCUGCCACUACCACUUUAGGCCAAAUAUAAAAUAAAAACAUGUUUAGCGUCCUGCCAAGUUGAAAAAAGGAACUUAGGAGCCCCCCCCCCCUUUUCCCCAAAAUGGCCGCCCGAUGACCCAUUUUGGCCAAACGACCGGCCGGGCUAUUUUUUCAAGAAGGCCGCCAGCUUUUUUUAAUAGCCGCCACUCGGACUCAGGAAAAUACAUACCAGUACUUGGAGUUUAAAAAUACGACUUUUUCCCGAAAAAGAUUAUCAUACAUUUAUAAUUUUCAAUUAAGAAAAAGGAGGCGGCCUCCAAAAAGGAGGCGGGCGAAGACGCUAAACAUGACUUUCUUUUAUUUCGCCUUAGUUCAAUAUGCGCUGAUCUACGGAGUUAUAAACUUGGUUGCCACGGUAAUUUGGAGCCGGAUCGUGAAUUUCCCCGUGUUUUUUCCCAAGAGGGUUUUCGCGGGGUUUUCGCCCAUCCCGUGUUCAGCAAUUCGUGCCUACAUACUGGAAUGUUAAAAAUGAACUUUUAUAUAGUUUUAUUUGUGUAAAUAUUCG
rnacentral:lncRNA from 1 species